rnacentral:lncRNA from 1 species
GCCGGCCUCCGGGGCCUUUCUUGAAUGUUCCAGGCGGCGACCUGUUCGAAAAAAGAGACCCAGCUUGUCUGGAGUGGCUUCUCUCCUGGAGGCCCUGUGGGUGCCUCGAGGUCACACCAGAGAAGGGGCUCUGUCAUGACCUGUCCGACCGGUGCUGGCACCGUGCUCACCUCCCCAGCGUCCCCCUUUCCUGGCUCCCCUCCUUCUCCAGGAGAGAUGCCCGGGGACUCUCCUGCACCAGGUCUCAGGGCCUAGGAUUGCAUCCUAAGCUACCAGGGCCUCCCCUUCCCCUUGGCUCCUUCAUAAUCAUAUGGAUUUUCCUCCUGUUUUGAAAGCCGUCUCCUUUAGUAGAUCCAUUUCCAAAGGAACAGGGGGUUUCCUGCAGAGGCCACUUGGUAGGGCUGAGACAUUGGCUCAGGCCUGGCCUGGACACUGACCCUUUGUGGACUCUUUGCCAUGCCUGGGUCCUAGAGGUCAGGAGGAGAUAGGCCAUGUCUUUUCAGGAUUGCAGAAUGCUGUUGGCUCAAGUUCUACACCUGGGUGAAGACUGACAUACCAGUUACAUUUCCCAGAACCUUCCGCCAGGGCCAGGGCCAGGUCCAGGGCCAGGAGGAAGAGGUGCAGACACCCUCAAACUCGGGUCCCCACUGCUGCCCCACUUGGGCUGCACAUGGUCCUUGAGGGCUCACUCCCCAGGUGCUGCAGGGAUACCUGUGUCCACUGAUUCACCAGGGCAGGAAGUAGCCAGGGAAGUUUCUGGGAGAAGAGGGGCAGGUGGAGAUGGGCCCUGCCCUCCUACCCACAAGCAGCCCACGAAUGGCUGACUGAGGAUUGGCUGAACGGACUGUUCUUUUUGCCUCCUGUGAGGCUGACCCUUGGCCAAGGUGGAUGGUUUGUCCUGGUGUUUCAGAGGUCAAGGUGUUGACACAGGCAGAUGUGAG